GACGAACGCUGGCGGCGUGCCUAAUACAUGCAAGUUGAGCGAUGAAGAUUGGUGCUUGCCCCAAUUUGAAGAGCAGCGAACGGGUGAGUAACGCGUGGGGAAUCUGCCUUUGAGCGGGGGACAACAUUUGGAAACGAAUGCUAAUACCGCAUAAUAACUUUAAACAUAAGUUUUAAGUUUGAAAGAUGCAAUUGCAUCACUCAAAGAUGAUCCCGCGUUGUAUUAGCUAGUUGGUGAGGUAAAGGCUCACCAAGGCGAUGAUACAUAGCCGACCUGAGAGGGUGAUCGGCCACAUUGGGACUGAGACACGGCCCAAACUCCUACGGGAGGCAGCAGUAGGGAAUCUUCGGCAAUGGACGAAAGUCUGGCCGAGCAACGCCGCGUGAGUGAAGAAGGUUUUCGGAUCGUAAAACUCUGUUGGUAGAGAAGAACGUUGGUGAGAGUGGAAAGCUCAUCAAGUGACGGUAACUACCCAGAAAGGGACGGCUAACUACGUG
rnacentral:rRNA from 1 species